rnacentral:rRNA from 1 species
GCAGUAGCAAUACUGAGUGGCAAACGGGUGAGUAUAAUGUGGGAAUCUGCCUUUUGGUUCGGAAUAACACGAGGAAACUUGUGCUAAUACCGGAUAAGCCCUUACGGGGAAAGUCUUAGUGCCAAAAGAUGAGCCCGCACUUGAUUAGCUAGUUGGUAAGGUAAUGGCUUACCAAGGCAACGAUCAAUAGCUGUUCUUAGAGGAAGACCAGCCACAUUGGGACUGAGACACGGCCCAAACUCCUACGGGAGGCAGCAGUGGGGAAUCUUGCACAAUGGGGGAAACCCUGAUGCAGCGAUGCCGCGUGAGUGAAGAAGGCCCUUGGGUUGUAAAACUCUUUCGUCGGGGAAGAAAAUGACUGUACCCGAAUAAGAAGGUCCGGCUAACUUCGUGCCAGCAGCCGCGGUAAUACGAAGGGACCUAGCGUAGUUCGGAAUUACUGGGCUUAAAGAGUUCGUAGGUGGUUAAAAAAGUUGAUGGUGAAAUCCCAAGGCUCAACCUUAGAACUGCCAUCAAAACUUUUUAGCUAGAGUGUGAUAGAGGAAAGUGGAAUUUCUAGUGUAGAGGUGAAAUUCGUAGAUAUUAGAAAGAACAUCAAAAGCGAAGGCAACUUUCUGGAUCAUUACUGACACUGAGGAACGAAAGCAUGGGUAGCGAAGUGGAUUAGAUACCCUCGUAGUCCAUGCCGUAAACGAUGUGUGCUAGACGUUGGAAACUUAGUUUUCAGUGUCGCAGCGAAAGCAUUAAGCACACCGCCUGGGGAGUACGACCGCAAGGUUAAAACUCAAAUGAAUUGACGGGGACCCGCACAAGUAGUGGAG